rnacentral:misc_RNA from 1 species
GGCCAAUAUAUCUCACCCGAUUCCCAACACCGUGCAUCACAACCGCAAGAUGUUUCACAAAUGUCCAAUCCCCAACUAAGUCAAACUCCACCACAACCAUUCAAUCAGUAUCAACAACAGUGGGCGCAGCCACCAUCUCAGCAGCCACAACCUCCUCAACAGCCUUCAAUGCAACCUCAGACCAGACCACCACCCCCUUCAGUCUACCCUUCUCCUUAUCCACCAAAUCAACCAACUUCUAUGCCUGAG